CUUAGUGGCGGACGGGUGAGUAACGCGUGGAUAACCUGCCGUAUACAGGGGGAUAACACUUAGAAAUAGGUGCUAAUACCGCAUAAGCGCACGGUUCCGCAUGGAACAGUGUGAAAAACUCCGGUGGUAUACGAUGGAUCCGCGUCUGAUUAGCCAGUUGGUGGGGUAACGGCCCACCAAAGCGACGAUCAGUAGCCGGCCUGAGAGGGUGAACGGCCACAUUGGGACUGAGACACGGCCCAAACUCCUACGGAAGGCAGCAG
rnacentral:rRNA from 1 species